rnacentral:lncRNA from 1 species
UUCCAUGCGAAAGGGGCACGCGCCAAUCCACAAUUAAAAGAAAAAAAAAAAAAGAAAAAGAACAAAAAUGAAAACAGUUUGUGUGUUUUGUAAAAUCCACAAGAGCAGCAAUUAAUAUUCCCAUUGAAUUGACUUUAAUUUUUGUGUGUGUGUCUCCCUUUUGUUUCCAGCGCCUGCCCCUGGCUCAGCGCCCGGUGCCAACAGAACACCUUCAGGAUUCACAGCAACGCAGAAACCAUGUCCAGGACCCCGGCCUCUGCUUGGAACGGAAUGGUGUCAUGGCGGAGACAACGGCCUUUGUCUUGCUGGGUGUGAAAACAUCCGCCGUGCUGGCUCUUCCACUGCGGCAGAAUCAAGUUUAAAUGAAAAAAGUGAUUAAAGUCAGCUUUGUGCUUCUUUGGUGUGGAAGACCCCAAAACCCCAAGUAGCCGAUUCCCAGGGUCCAAGGAAGGGCUCAUAGUUGGAGCAGCCUGGGCUGUAAUCCUGGCACUUGCGCCUUGCGUUGCUGCUUGCUGUUCGCUCCUGGGGGUCUGGAUAAUCUCCCUUGGCUUUACCGCACUGUCUGGCCCGCAUACAGGGCCCGGUAACAUAUACCCGCU